ACCAUCCGUCACGUGACCCACGUGAAAAACUCCCCCAACGGUCCGUUAGAAAAAAACUUCACAUCCGUUGCUGCCGUCCACCGUGAAACAAAAACCAGCGUGUCCAAGCAGAGAGGGAAAAUGAUUGGAGAGAAGGGGAAGCUACUGUAUAAUGUGUACAGAGCCCUAACCUACGGUCUCUCUCCAUUUCUCUACCUUCAUCUACGUUUCCGCACUCUCCAGGGCAUCGAACACCCUGUCCGGUGGCCGGAGCGUCUUGGCCGUCCUUCUACCCCACGCCCUCCCGGCCAUCUCAUAUGGUUCCACACCGCCUCUUUAGGUGAAGGAAUGGCUGCAAUCCCAGUAAUCAAACGCUGUAUUGAGGAAAGACCCGAUUGUACCAUUUUGAUGACUUCAACUACUGCGUCUGCAUUUGAAAUAAUAACGAAUCAGCUCCCUACUGGUGUCAUAUAUCAGUUUGCCCCACUUGAUAUUCCUGCUGCUAUGGAUGCUUUCCUUGGCUAUUGGAAGCCCAAUGCUGUCAUGCUAAUGGAGUGUGAACUGUGGCCAAAUCUUAUUUUAGGAGCUGCAAGAAAUGGUAUUGCACUGGCAUUAUUAAAUGCUCGGAUGUCUGCAAAAUCCUUUUCACGUUGGUCUCGACCUGUGCUUCUUCCGUUGAUUUCCUUAAUGCUGUCAAAGUUUUCCUUGAUUGUCCCAUUGAGCACCAUGCAGGGAAUCCGCUUUCAGCUAUUGCAAGCCCCACCAUAUGUCAUCAACUUUUCUGGUGACCUGAAAUAUACGGUUGAAGAAUUUGACAUUUCCAAAAGAGGGGUACAAAGUAUAGAAGAACUUAAGGUGCAGCUUGCCCAUAGGCGGGUUUGGAUGGUUUCUUCCAUACAUAGGGGUGAAGAAGAAGUUAUGCUAGGAGUUCACAAAGUUCUAAUGCGAAUGCACCCUGAUAUGGUCACCAUUAUUGUGCCUCGAUAUCCACAGCAUGGACGUGAGAUUGCUAUAGAACUGCAGAAAGAAGGGCUGAGUGUAGCUCUGAGGUCACGUGAUGAGAAACUUGUGUCAGGGACAAGUAUAUAUGUGGUGGACACAUUAGGUGAACUGAGACACUUUUAUACACUAACUCCCAUAGCAGUAAUUGGAGGUUCUUUCUUGCCUGGUUUAACUGGCCAUAACAUUUCGGAAGCUGCUGCAGCUGGCUGUGCUGUUCUGACUGGUCAUCAUGUUGGGCAUUUUUCGGAUAUGGUACUGAAAAUGCAACGAUCGAAUCCUUUGUCAGUUCUGCAGGUUUCUGCAGAGGAACUUGAGGAAGCUCUCAGUCAGCUUUUCAGCAAUAGUGAAAUUCUGGAAGCACGUUGUCUGGCUGCAAAACAAGCAUUUCAAACUCUGUCAAGCGGGAUUGUUGCAAAUGUUUGGAAUCAACUAAAUUUCAAUGUUCUCAGACAGGCUUUGUGUUAAUGAAGGCUGGUGAACAAUAAAAUUGAAAGUGACAGUUGAGUUUGUCUGCCUGCUUCUUCUGCAUCAAGGUGGACAAUAUUUUAGCUUGGUUCAGGUUAAAUAUCAAUGGAAGUAAAAAAAAAAUGCUAAGAACCAUUCUUAAUGGGCAAGUGAUGAUAGGAUCAUUCUAAUGAAGAAGUAUUUGAGUUUCCUAAUUUGAAGCGUCUGCAUUCAUGGUAUCACUUUAUCUAAUGCCUAAGCUCUCAUCAUGUGUCUUACAAAGUUGGGUUUAUGCAUAGAUAUUGAGCUUUGUGGAGCUCCCUACCCGCUGAUAACAGUAGUUCCAGUAACAAAAUUGGAAAAUUCUACUGUCCUUUAGGUACUUUAUACCCUAAGAAUUUCACCUAUUGAAAGUUUGAAAGUCAAUUUUAAUUCAAUUUCAAUGAUCCAAGUUGAUGAAAAUUCUACUGUCCCUCUGUCGGUAUAAUACACUUAUGAAUUUAACUUAUUGUAUGUUUUAAAGUCAAUUUAAUUUGAUUUCAAUGAGUUGAUGUUUA